rnacentral:rRNA from 1 species
UACAGAGGCCUCGAGCGUUAGGCGGAAUCACUGGGCUUAAAGCGUGUGUAGGCGGACUUCUAAGUACCUUGUGAAAUCCCACGGCUCACCCGUGGAACUGCUUGGUAUACUGGUUGUCUUGAGCCUUCUAGGGGCGAGUGGAACAAAUGGUGGAGCGGUGAAAUGCGUAGAUAUCAUUUGGAACGCCAAUGGUGAAACAACUCGCUGGGAAGUGCUGACGCUGAGACACGAAAGCCAGGGGAGCGAACGGG